rnacentral:rRNA from 1 species
AUUGAACGCUGGCGGAAUGCUUUACACAUGCAAGUCGAACGGCAGCACGGGGGCAACCCUGGUGGCGAGUGGCGAACGGGUGAGUAAUGUAUCGGAACGUACCCAGUCGUGGGGGAUAACUAUCCGAAAGGAUAGCUAAUACCGCAUACGUCCUGAGGGAGAAAGCGGGGGACCUGCAAGGGCCUCGCGCGAUUGGAGCGGCCGAUAUCGGAUUAGCUGGUUGGUGAGGUAAAGGCUCACCAAGGCGACGAUCCGUAGCGGGUCUGAGAGGACGCCCCGCCACACUGGAACUGAGACACGGUCCAGACUCCUACGGGAGGCAGCAGUGGGGAAUUUUGGACAAUGGGGGAAACCCUGAUCCAGCCAUUCCGCGUGAGUGAAGAAGGCCUUCGGGUUGUAAAGCUCUCUCAGCAGGAACGAAACGGUCGGCUUUAAUAAAGUCGGCUAAUGACGGUACCUGCAGAAGAAGCACCGGCUAACUACGUGCCAGCAGCCGCGGUAA